AACCCCUGUGACAUACCACUUGUUGCCUCGGCGGAUCAGCCCGCUCCCGGUAAAACGGGACGGCCCGCCAGAGGACCCCUAAACUCUGUUUCUAUAUGUAACUUCUGAGUAAAACCAUAAAUAAAUCAAAACUUUCAACAACGGAUCUCUUGGUUCUGGCAUCGAUGAAGAACGCAGCAAAAUGCGAUAAGUAAUGUGAAUUGCAGAAUUCAGUGAAUCAUCGAAUCUUUGAACGCACAUUGCGCCCGCCAGUAUUCUGGCGGGCAUGCCUGUUCGAGCGUCAUUUCAACCCUCAAGCACAGCUUGGUGUUGGGACUCGCGUUAAUUCGCGUUCCCCAAAUUGAUUGGCGGUCACGUCGAGCUUCCAUAGCGUAGUAGUAAAACCCUCGUUACUGGUAAUCGUCGCGGCCACGCCGUUAAACCCCAACUUCUGAAUGUUGACCUCGGAUCAGGUAGGAAUACCCGCUGAACUUAAGCAUAUCAAUA
rnacentral:rRNA from 1 species